ACUGAUCGAUUUGACUUUAUGUCACAUAUUGCGGAAGUUUUGGUAACGGCCGAACGAGUCAUUACAUACAAUUUUAGAAAUUUAUAUAAACUAGCUGGAAAUAUAUCUAUAUAGAAUAGGAGAAGCAAAAAAAUCUUGCGAUGACAAGUGUAAGCACCAGAAAAUUCCAAUAUGAAAAUAUAAAAAUAUAAAAAUAAAAGCAAAGCCAGGAAUAUUUGAAUUUAAUUUUAAAAAGUGUGAAAACUAGUUGAGUAACCAACUAAAUCAGCGAUAUUUGUUUUUAAAUAAAAAAAAAAGUAAAAGAUAAAGGAUAACCAACUUCCCAAUACAUUCCAUGUCUCAGUAAGGGUUUCUAAGUAGAUGGGUUCAGUUACACCUUCAUCAGUAUAACAAAAUGCAAUGUAUUUCGAAAUCCGACAAAUCAUUCCAAAUCAAAUCCUCAAUUAUAAUGGCAUAAAAAUAGAGAGUAAAAUGAACAAAGGAGAAAAAUUCACCCCAACACCCGCAUCAUCUGAAAACCACAAAUCCAUUUGCAUUCAAGGCAGAGAAGAAAUCACUAUAGGAGAAGACUUUUAACGUCUGUGAGAAAGAUUUGAAGAUAGAUCCGAAAUGCAGUUCAAGAAAGAAUUAAGGAGGACUUCACUAAGAUAUAUGGAGGAGGCAAAGCUACUACAGAUUUUGCUAACAGCUUGAACAGGGAAUUUUCGUAAUUUGCAUUACUUUUAUGAUAGAAGGUUUAGAGAGUGAUAAAAGAAACUUCUUAAAAUCUAUACCUCAGUAUCCUGCUUUGAUUAGGAGUAAUAAAUAAAAAAUUCUAUGAACUUUUGUUUUGUUUAUCUUUUAAUCAUUAUAGUGAGAAGACCUUCCACGAUUGAAGCUACUCUACCGAAAAAGGAAAUUACUUCAGAUGACGAAGAAAAGGAUUGCGUUGAUUCUACUACCGGCUGGGUGCAUCCUUCAAUUAACCAAUUCGUGCAUUCUUCUUGCAUACCAAAUUUUGGUUCUUAUGCUCAUUCUUCAUUUGCAAAUCUCUAAUUGUAGCGAAUAUUGCAGAAUCCUGAGCCUUCUGUGGAGUUUGAAACUGUUCCAAACAAAAAAUACCAGCAUGAAGUGAAUGUUGGGCUUGAUUGUGCUAAAUAUUGGAACCUAUAUGAGCGGAGUUGCUAUGCGGCAUAAUUUUUUGAGCAUGAAGAAGACUAUAAUGAGUGACAGAUGCUUGGUUCAAAGAUAAUCAUUAAGUGUUUUCAAUCUUCUUCCCUUAGAUAUUAUUUACAUGUAAAAUGAAGCAUCAUGGAGGAAUCCUUAAAUGGAAAGCGAGCUAUUAUCAAACUUUCUUCACUAUACAUAACCAUGAUGCAUCCAUGUUAGAACUAUUAUGCUUCAAAUGAAGUUCUUCGGUCAAGUUAUGUUAAGCUAAUAAUGUUGUCCCUCA